UACACGACCGUACCGCAAACCGACACUGGUGCGCGAGAUGAGUAUUCUAAGGCGCUUGAGAGAACUCAGGAGAAGGAACUCGGCAAAUCGACACCGUAACUUCGGAAGAAGGUGUGCCUUUAGUAGGUGAAGGGAUUUACUCCUGGAGCCCAAUGAGGUUGCAAAAAAUCGGUGGCUGCGACUGUUUAUUAAAAACACAGCACUCUGCAAACACGAAAGUGGACGUAUAGGGUGUGACGCCUGCCCGGUGCUGGAAGAUUAAAUGAUGGGGUGCAAGCUCUUGAUUGAAGUCCCAGUAAACGGCGGCCGUAACAAUAACGGUCCUAAGGUAGCGAAAUUCCUUGUCGGGUAAGUUCCGACCUGCACGAAUGGCGUAACGAUGGCCACACUGUCUCCUCCUGAGACUCAGCGAAGUUGAAAUGUUUGUGAUGAUGCAAUCUCCCCGCGGAAAGACGGAAAGACCCCAUGAACCUUUACUGUAGCUUUGUAUUGGACUUUGAACAGAUCUGUGUAGGAUAGGUGGGAGGCUUUGAAGCAGGGUCGCUAGAUCUUGUGGAGCCAACGUUGAAAUACCACCCUGGUGUGUUUGAGGUUCUAACCUAGGUCCAUUAUCUGGAUCGGGGACAGUGCAUGGUAGGCAGUUUGGCUGGGGCGGUCUCCUCCCAAAGCGUAACGGAGGAGUUCGAAGGUACGCUAGUUACGGUCGGACAUCGUGACGAUAGUGCAAUGGCAUAAGCGUGCUUAACUGCGAGACUGACAAGUCGAGCAGAUGCGAAAGCAGGACAUAGUGAUCCGGUGGUUCUGUAUGGAAGGGCCAUCGCUCAACGGAUAAAAGGUACUCUGGGGAUAACAGGCUGAUACCGCCCAAGAGUUCAUAUCGACGGCGGUGUUUGGCACCUCGAUGUCGGCUCAUCUCAUCCUGGGGCUGUAGCCGGUCCCAAGGGUAUGGCUUUCGCCAUUUAAAGAGGUACGUGAGCUGGGUUUAAAACGUCGUGAGACAGUUUGGUCCCUAUCUUCCGUGGGCGCUGCAGAUUUGAGGAAGCCUGCUCCUAGUACGAGAGGACCGGAGUGGACACACCUCUGGUGUAUCGGUUGUCACGCCAGUGGCAUUGCCGAGUAGCUAAGUGUGGAAGAGAUAACCGCUGAAAGCAUCUAAGCGGGAAACUCGUUUCAAGAUGAGAUCUGCCGGGGCCUUGAGCCCCCUAAAGAGUCGUUCAAGACCAGGACGUUGAUAGGCAGGGUGUGGAAGCGCAGUAAUGCGUUAAGCUAACCUGUACUAAUUGCUCGUGCGGCUUGACCUG
rnacentral:rRNA from 1 species